rnacentral:rRNA from 1 species
AAAACCAUGCUAAUACCGCAUACGCCCUAAGGGGGAAAGCAGGGGAUCUUCGGACCUUGCGCUAUUGGAUGAGUCUGCGUCGGAUUAGAUUGUUGGUGGGGUAAUGGCCUACCAAGUCUACGAUCCGUAGCUGGUCUGAGAGGACGAUCAGCCACACUGGAACUGAGACACGGUCCAGACUCCUACGGGAGGCAGCAGUGGGGAAUAUUGCACAAUGGGCGAAAGCCUGAUGCAGCCAUGCCGCGUGUGUGAAGAAGGCUCUAGGGUUGUAAAGCACUUUCAAUAGCGAGGAAAAGUUGUCAGCUAAUAACUGUCAGCCUUGACGUUAACUAUAGAAGAAGCACCGGCUAACUCCGUGCCAGCAGCCGCGGUAAUACGGAGGGUGCAAGCGUUAAUCGGAAUUACUGGGCGUAAAGCGCGCGUAGGCGGUUUGGUCAGUUGGAUGUGAAAGCCCCGGGCUUAACCUGGGAACUGCAUUCAAUACUGCCAGACUCGAGUACGAGAGAGGGGGGUAGAAUUUCUAGUGUAGCGGUGAAAUGCGUAGAUAUUAGAAGGAAUACCAGUGGCGA